rnacentral:tRNA from 1 species
CAAACCAUGGCUGAUAGAGCUUUUUAUUAUUUACAUUAAUGAUUAUAUUUGUGCAAUUCAAAUUGGUUUGA